rnacentral:rRNA from 1 species
CAAUAGCGUAUAUUAAAGUUGUUGCAGUUGAAAAGCUCGUAGUUGGAUUUCUGGCUUGGAACGGCUGGUCCGCCGUAUAUGCGGUGCGUACCGGUUCGAUCCAGCCAUCCUUCCAAGGACCUCUCCUGCCCUUCAUUGGGUCGGGUGUAGGCACUUGGAUCGAUUACUUUGAAAAAAUUAGAGUGUUCAAAGCAGGCGUUUGUCUUGAAUACAUUAGCAUGGAAUAAUGACAUAGGACUUUGGUUCUAUUUUGUUGGUUUCUAGGACUGAAGUAAUGAUUGAUAGGGAUAGUUGGGGGUGCUAGUAUUGUGCGGCCAGAGGUGAAAUUCUUGGAUUCGCGCAAGACUAACUAAUGCGAAAGCAUUCACCAAGGAUGUCUUCUUUAA